GGAAUAUUGCGCAAUGGAGGAAACUCUGACGCAGUGACGCCGCGUGCAGGAAGAAGGUUUUCGGAUUGUAAACUGCUUUAGUCAAGGAAGAUACAAGACAGUACUUGAAGAAUAAGCACCGGCUAACUAUGUGCCAGCAGCCGCGGUAAUACAUAGGGUGCGAGCGUUAUCCGGAAUUAUUGGGUGUAAAGGGUGCGUAGAUGGGAAAACAAGUUGGUUGUGAAAUCCCUCGGCUUAACUGAGGAACUGCAACCAAAACUAUUUUUCUUGAGUGCUGGAGGGGAAAGAGGAAUUCCUAGUGUAGCGGUGAAAUGCGUAGAUAUUAGGAGGAACACCGGUGGCGAAGGCGUCUUUCUGGACAGUAACUGACAUUGAGGCACGAAAGUGUGGGGAGCAAACA
rnacentral:rRNA from 1 species